CAAAGAGGCCUAGGCAGCAAAUAACCUGGAAGAUACCCAGGGAUAUACGAAGCAUCACAAGCCAUAGGUGUAAAAGCCUACGUAAAGAGUGAAGAGCCGAGCUCUCAGCAAAAAAAAAAAAAAAAAUCAUAACCCGAGUCAGUUCGCCAUACAUAGACAUCCGAGCUCAUAACCAAGGAAACAGGAGAAUCUCGCUGGAAGGAAAGACUCCCUUUCUCCGACAAAGGCCCUAGAAGUGAAGAGGAGUCAACACUGAUAUAUACUCAAAAUCUGAAGUCUUAGCGCAAAGUAACUCUAGACUCUAAGCCCACGAUGUCAGGAUCUUUAAAAGAUAUUAAUGGAAAAGGAAAAAAGAAGCAAGUCCAAGCGAUAAUGACAGGAAAGUAAAGAAGAGCAGAGUAUCUGAGAGGUAAGGAAAGGCCAGAAGGGAAAAAAGGCAGAUAGGAUUCAAGAAAUGAGGAAUGACAAAAAGAUGAAAGGGAGUUAUGAAGGCAUCUAUACACAAACAGACGUGGUCAUAAUGGUUCUCGAUAUUCACCCCCUCGGCAGUCAGAACAAUAACUGCCAAGAAGGUGAAGGGGCAAUUGAUGACCGCUGGAUUUCCCUAUCCCCAAUCCUGGGCCUAGAUUACGGCCACGGUCCACGAAAGGAAGGCCCGCACGCCCUCUCAAAACAAGCCCAGAUCAUCAGACCCCUGAGGCCGGACUCCACCAGAUUCUUCCUAAUCGAGAUCGGCCCAGCCCGUAUAACCUUCCCCACGGAUUCCUUCUCCUCCUGGGUUCAGCGUCCAGCCCAGUUCUCGGCCCAGUCCAGAACCCCGAAUGAGACUCGUCAUACAGCCUGGCAGAUCCGCUCGAGCGUACGCACGGGGGAGAAUCAGAGGUUGUUACGCAUGGAGCAGGCGCCUGAUAUCCUCGUACGCCCAUAUCUGUAUGGCAGAGACGCGUGGCCCAAUCAAAGGAGAGCUGUUGUACGUCACCAGCAAGCAGAAAGAAAGGAUAAAAGGGAUACCCCUCUAGAGAGAUGGACCAAGCCUUAUUCUUCAAUACCAAAACCCUUGUACAACCCUAUUCUAUUGGAUCUCAGAUCAUCAGGUAGAUUUGUAAAAGCAGGUGAAGCAUAUGAUUAUGACCCUCUUGUUACAAGGAACAUCUGAUCAGCCAUAUUGCCCUUUACUUACGACACGAAGAACUAAAAUUUUAAGGUAAAUGAAACUUUCUGCUUGCUGAAUCUACACGUAAAUUCUCUUUCUCUGCAUGCUUUCAAGUGGGGCUAAAAGAAAAAAAAGGAAUCUGUGCAAGCUAGCAGAAGGUGAGGCCUUUUGGAGAAUAGAAUGAUUCUACUUGAUAAAUAAUAAACUGCAUUCAUAAUUUCUAUGCUUUCCAAUCUUAUCUGUCUCUAAUCAGAUGCCUUAAAAUUUAAAAACCCUUUUGCUUAAAUACAGCAACAAGUUAUUGACUUUGUUAAUGAUCCUUUUCCUUUCAGGUCUGAUGAUUGUUUCUUGGUUUUCAAGAGGGGUUGAUACUAAUGGAUUUGAAAUUUUCCCUUAAAUAGGUUUCCCUCUUUCUUGAAUAUCCUCUAAAGAAUCUGUUUCACUUUCAAUAGUGUAUUAAAUUUUACAUAUUAGUUAAUUAAUUACAUCUUUUGCAUAUCUUGACAGAUUUAAAGUGCUGGAAUUCACACUGGAUCUUUUGAGUUCUGAAAGCUCAUCAACCUGUGAACUACAUCAACUACUAUCUUCAACUAUAGUACUCAAAUCCAUAUAUUGAAAUGAGUAGUGGUACUUCUCUAAAUGCAUGUACCCUACCCAUAUUCCACUCAAAAUAAUUUUCUUCAGAAUUUUCUGAUCAGUAUCUUAUUAUUUUUCUCUUUGCUUGGGGCACUUUCAAAGGAUAUUGAUCCUGGAGAAAGAAAUGGUGAAGGAGGUGUUAAAUAACCUUUCAGUAAUUAGUAAUUAGAGAUCAAAGAGAAUAAAUAGUACAAAUAUUUAAAUGUAUAGGGACUAAAUAAUACAUAUAAUUAAAAAUAUAUGAACAAAUUUCAAGACAUGUUAAUAAAUUAUAAAGACAAAAAAUUUAUUUUAUAAAAUACAAAAACAUUUUAAUUGAAUAAUUUUCGAAUAGGAUAAAUUAAUAAAAUUUUUAAAAGAAUUAGGGACUGAAUGAUAAGUUUCCUUCAAUUUAUCUAGAAUUAAUAAAAAUUACAUAAAUAUCCCUAUAAAAUCUUAAAAAACGUUCAGGGGCCAUGGCUUGGCUCCUAAAUAGAUCUGUCAUUGGUCCCUUCAAACAAGAAUUUUAUAGUUUAGAGACAUGUCAAUCUUUAGCUCUACAGUUUAUAGACUUGUCGGACUUUUCAAACAAGUGUUUAUAGUUUAUGAACAUAUCAAUCUCCUCGUAAGUUUUAGAAAAUUUCAUAAAUAAAGAAAUUAAAUCCAAGAUCUCAUAGCUUGUUUAAACUUGAAAAUACAAAAAAAUAACAACUUUCAUGAAAAAUAAACAAAAUUACAAACUUUUUAAAAAUAAGACACGCAAAGAUCAUUUGGACUCUUAUACUAUAUUAAAAUUAAAAGAAAUUUUAAUAUCAUGUUAAAAAAUUAAAACAAGCUGAUAUUAUUGUUGGAUUUAUAAUGAAAAAUAGCCAGUUAAAAUAAAAAAUAGCCAACUAAAAGCAAAGAAACAUCAAACCCAGAGAAAAUAGAGCAUAUGAUAUCAGCAUAAAAACAUCAAAUUUGUAGCAACAAAAUCAAAAAUCAAAAGCUAUAAAUUUAACUUUAACAAGCCUAUCACCAAAAAUUCAAAAUAACACAACCAAAGAGUGAAAAGGGUAGAGAGAAAAAUAACUAAUUUUUUUUUUUCUUUUUCUUUCAUCUUUCCAGCAACUUUCUACGCAAAAUACUCUCACUCUCUUUCUCUUACAAGACAAAGGAAAAAUCAUAAAAAAAUUAACAAUGUCACCUAAUACAAGUCAAACAAGAAAGCUAAAUUCAACUGAAAAUAAGGAAAUCCACUUCUUUAAAACUAAACCAUUACAUUAAAUAUUCUCUCAAUGAGAAAAUCUCAUCAAUUCCAACAUUUUUAUUUACAUUUUUAGCUUAAAUAGGGGCACUAAGAAUUAUGUAGACUCGAUAUGCAUUCUAUAAUAGAGGUAUAGGUAGUCACUGGUGUUAAAAAGAAAUAACACAAACUUAACAAACUUGAAAAUGUAAGGAAAAUAGUGAUUUCUCAUUGAAAGACGUUGUAGUUUAUAUACAAAAGAGAGGGAGCUAUCAAACUAGCUAAGCUGUACAAGCCAGUCAAUCACACUUCGGUUAUCCUAAUAGAUUUUCCCUCCAUAAAUAUGUUUACAAUUGGGUGCAGUUCAAAGUAGACAAAAGUUAUAUUCAAUAUUCAGAUAUUUUUUUUAAUGUUCUUUUUUUCGCUUUUCUAAAUAUUUAGAUCUAGAAUAAGAUUUAUGAAUUUAACAUGUUAUUUAUUUUCUUUUAAAUGUGGUAAAUUAUUGCUAUAGACGGUAAAUGAGUUUUCAUGUUGGUUAGGUAAAUUAUUCAAGGAGCGUUGGUGUAACAUUUGUUGCUUCUGACAAUGCCGCUGUCAUAGGCCACAAAAAGGCCUAAAAGAGAUACGACGAGUUUUGUGCACCUUUCUCUUUCCUGGAGACCCAAAAUUUGGGUAAACCUUACUAAGAUCCACGAUUGGUUUGUCCAUUGUUCUUUGUUUAAGAAGUUUUGUGGUCUAAUGGUAAGUGCGCAUUACUAUCAAGCCUUGGAUUUGACUCAUUCAGAAGAUAGGAGUGAGCUAGGAAAAAUAAUUGGUUGGAUUGAGUUUUUAGAGUAGCUUGGGCAACAACGUUUAUGGAAAUCAGUUGUAGGUUAGAGCUUAAGUCUAGUAGGAGAGAUAUUAUAGUACAAGAGGUAGGUGCAGUGGUGUUGGGAGAGAAUGAGUUGACAAUUUGGUCUCCUUCGGCCAUGGAUGCUAAUAAUUGCCGGCCUUCUCACAUCCGGGGUGAGACCGAUCCUGGAAAAGAAUAUAGACUCAAAACCUAUUGGACUCCUUAGAGUAGACCGAUCUAAUAUCACGCCCUUCAAUCCGUGACUAAAGCAAGUCGGACUGACCCUAUACUUGGGUCUACUAGAAGAGAGCCCAAAGAAUGAUGUGAUGGGAGGUAGGAGAGGUCCAGUUACCUCGCAGGCGUAUCAGCAUGCGCGCCGUAUGGGUCUAAGUGACAGAUCGGAUUGACCCUAUACUUGAGUUUACCAUAAGAGAGUCCAGUCCAAUGACGUAAUAGGAGGUAGGAGAGCAGGUCCAGUUACCUCGCAGCCCUAUCAGCAUGCACAUUGGGGGAUUAAAUGGCCGCUUGACAGAGAUAGGUACGUCCGAAUGUAUGGAUCUGAGUGACAGAGACGGGUCACUAUAAAACAAGGAUAAAAAAAUAAAGGUGAACUUGAUAUUUUCAAGUUAAACUUACCUCCACUAUAAGUCCCAUUUGUUGGGCACUAUCACUCUGAUGCCAUAUAAUGAUGAAUAAGGUAUUUACAGAUUAUAUGAGUAUAAGGAAACCCAAUCAAAAGUAUUGAUUACAAUUAUUUACAUAUUGGAAGGCUAUAAUUAAAGAGAGAUUGUCCAUUCUAUGGAAUGUGAAAUAAUCCUAAUAAUCUCCCCGCUAAUUGAUUUCGAUUGGACUGAAUAUCUGCAAAAACCCGACCUGCAAAGUUCCUAAUCAGAAUGCCACAAAAAGCCAACACCAAUUCUUCAUUACUUACUGUGUAUGAUACCUUUUUUUUUUUCUUUUGUUCUUUAAUUUUUCUUUUGACAGCAACUUAUCCUUAGAAAAUUAAUUGCGAAACAAGGCCAGUGACAGGACAUGUAGCUGCGACAUUAAAGUUUCACGUAAGUCCAAUAAUUUUAUUGUUUUAUAUUUAUUUAUUUAGUAAAUGAAUGAGAAAAGUCACGGAUCGUGGCAGACUCAUGGGUCUACCACACCCAUUUCCUUCGGUUAUGAAUGAGUUUUUCGCAGCAGGUUUGAAUACUCAAAUCAUUCUAUACAGACAUGAAGCUAUAAUAAUGCAAGUGGAAAAUUCUUAGGUUCUUCAAAGCCUAUAUACAUCCAACCUAUAAGAAAUUAAGAAAUUAUAUUUUCUAUUGAGACCCAACAUGUUUUUCUAGUAGGGGUCCAUCAUCUUUUGGUGAUUUAUCAAUUGAGAUGUCACAUCCGUGUAAGAAGUUCCAAAUGCAGGUAGCAUUAUUAAACACAAAACCUUAAGGUGUGUCGUUAGUGCCUUGUAUGCUUCCCACUAUUGCGCUGGAUACCAUUUACACUAAAAAACAACGACCUGAGGAGAAGUCUGCAAGUUUUUCUUGUAUGAUUAGCUGCAAUGUAAUCUUGUGUUCAUCAGAUGACUCUCCAAAGAUGAUUUACAGUCCAAUGUUACUAAAUACCAUCUUGUUCUCUUGUGUGUUUAUAUUUUGUUCUUCCCUUUUAAAUUCCUUCGCCAGGCAGAACAUCUCAGUACACAAUCCGCUUAACGAUGGUGAAACUCUUGUUUCCGCUGGAGAAGAAUUUGAACUGGGAUUCUUUACUCCUGCUGGAAGCGUUGAUAACAAAAGGUAUUUAGGGAUAUGGUACUAUGGAUUAAAUCCAAGAACAGUCAUAUGGGUUGCCAACCGAAACCACCCACUUCCUGACACUGGUGGACGUUUUGCUGUAGAUGAUGGAAACCUAAAUGUAUUAGAUGAAUCUGGAAAAGUUGUUUGGUCAACAGAUCUUGGACCACCAUCACCAAGAUAUUACUGGGUAGCUACGCUUUUGGAUUCUGGGAACUUGGUCUUCAGUAAUCGGUCAGUGACCAUAUGGCAGAGCUUUAAGAACCCAACUGAUACAUUUCUUUCAGGUAUGAAGAUGGACAAGGAAAUCAGGUUGACUUCAUGGAUUAGUGAACUUGAUCCAUCACCUGGAAAAUUCAAGUUCAGUCAAGAAGAUAAGGACCAGUUUAUUAUUCGGAAUGGUUCCAUUCCUUAUUGGGGAAGUGGUGUAUCUGGUGAAUUCUUUAGAGCAGAACUAGAUAUAAAAGUAGCAUACCUUUUAUCAAACUUCGACAAAAAAAUCUGGCCUUUUGGAUCAAAACAUAUUCCCAACAGUUAUUAUAACAAGACAAGGAUUGUGAUGAAUUUUACUGGACAGUUACAAUACUGGAGCUUAGAUAACCAGAACAAUUGGUCGUUAGAGUGGUCGGAGCCAAAAGACAGAUGCAGUGCUCUUGAAGCUUGUGGGAGGUUUGCCAGCUGCAAUAACAAUAACAAUAUUGCCUGUAAAUGUUUGCCAGGUUUCAAGCCUCUAUAUCCAGAGGAUUGGAAAGACGGAGACUUUUCUGGUGGAUGCACCAGAACUUCAACAUCAUGUGAGAAGAAUGACAUCUUCUUGAACUUGACGAUGAUGAAAGUGAGCGACACAAAAUCAAAAUCUGAAUUUAAGAAUGAGACAGAAUGCAGAGAGGAAUGUCUCAGCAAAUGCCUAUGCAAGGCUUAUUCAUAUACCCAAGACAAAAAUAGUUUUCCCAGGAGCCCUACAUUUAGUAACUCCACUUGUUGGAUUUGGACAGAGGAUCUUAGGAAUCUACAGGAGGAAUACCCUAAUGGUCAUGAACUCUUUGUCCGUGUAGCAAGGUCCGAUAUAGGUACUUGUUUUCUUGUCCUGUUCUUUUUAAUUUGUGUGAGUUUCUCUGAGAACGAAAAUAAUGGAAAAGUGUAAAAUAAUAAAUAAUAUAUAAUAACUUGAUUAAAAUUGUGGUGAUCCUAUGUAGUUCAACUUUUUCAGAAUCAACAGGUAGAAAUUGUGAACCUUGUGGCACCAGCUUGAUUCCUUAUCCUUUAAGUACUGGAUCAAAUUGUGGUGAUCCCAUGUACUUGAAUUUCUACUGCGACAACUCCACAGGAGAGCUUAAGUUUAAGGCAAGUACUGGAACCUAUAAUGUCACAAGCGUCAAUCCAAAUACGAGAACAUUUGUCAUCCAAGCCAUAGAAGCACGUAGUUGCUACGCUAGAAAUAGUGCAGUUCUGGAGCUUGACCCAUCAUUACCAUAUAAAAUCAACUGUAGUAAUGAGGUGGACAAUGCCGGUAAUAAAAUUUCAUCAGAAGGUAUAGAUGAAAUAAAGAUCAGUUGGGAUACACCGCCAGAGCCAAGCUGCAAUUCUUCGGCUGACUGCAAGGAUUGGCCUUAUUCAACAUGCAAUGUGACUGCAGAGGGUAUGAGAAGGUGCCUUUGUCAUGCAAACUUUCGAUGGGAUGGCUCAGCGCUGAAUUGUACUAUUGGUGAGAAUCUUCUUUUAUUCUUGAAACAUCCACAGAAAUGAAUUUUCCAUCUACUUGAUUUUCAUCAGUAUGCACACAUUUAUCUGGAUUGAACGUAUAAUUUGAUUGUAAUAUUAAAAGAUAUUCCUCUUUCUUACAGUAGAAGACAGAACCUAUCCUACGCCAAUUAUUGGAUCUUCAAAAAGAAAGACAAAGUUGUUUUUUAUCAUUGGAAUAACUAUUGCGAGUCUCAUAGUUCUUGCAAGUGCCAUUGCUUACAUAUACAUAAGGAAGGGAAGGAUGAAAAAAAGACAAGGUAACUAGAAAAAUCUUGUGUAUUUUGUCAGAAUUUGAAAUUUUGGGGCUUUGCCUUGUUGAUAGUUUUAGUCAAUAAAAGACCUAUUCAGCAGGAGGAAAAUCUUUGCUGUUGCUAGAAGUUAGGAGAUCUUAUUCUUAGUUUUAUUCUUCUGCUGUAUUAUUUCUUUAGCUUAUUCUUCGUUCUAUCAGUUUAUGUAAAGGCUAUAAAAUGCCUAUCAAUUGAGUUAAUAAUUAUCAUAUUGAAAACCCAAUUGCUCUGAUUUAUUAUUUCUUGUGAACUUUGUCAUGCCUAGAUAUUAGUAUCACAUGUUAAUUUUAAAUCUAACGGUCACAUUCUUGAAUUCAGAAACAGAAAAGAUUGGAAGAGAUGCAGUACUGUUGUAUGGAACUGAGAAACGAGUCAAAGACUUGAUAGGCUCAGAAGAAUUUAAAGAAGAGGACAAGAAGGGCAUAGAUGUGCCUUUCUUCAAUUUAGACAGCAUUUUAGCUGCUACAGAUAAUUUCUCAGAGGCAAACAAGCUUGGAAGAGGGGGCUUUGGGCCUGUGUACAAGGUAAUUUUCAGAUUAUCCAUUGAAGGUUUUUGUUUGGCUUUUGGCUUAAUAACCUGUAAAUGUUGGGUUCAAAAACAAGAACACAUUAAAAAUCCAUUUUGAACCUUCAUUAAACCCUUACUUGGAAUAGCUAAUUUUAAAAAAAUUUUAAAAAUAAAUAAUUUUUUUUUUUUAAAUUUUUUGUGUUUAGUAAAACUAUUUAUAUAAAAAUUCAAUUUUCUUGAAUUCUUAUGAUAAUUAAUUUUGAAUUAAAAGUAAAUCUCAAUAAAAUUAUUAAAAUUUUACAAGAAACAAAUUCACUUAAUGCUAUUUUUAUCAAAAUUACUUAAUUAACCUCUCUUAUAAUGAGAUAAAUUACUAUUACAAGUUGAAGGAUUACACACCCAGAGUGUUUUCAUAGAUACAUUUAAUUUACAUAAUCCUCCUAAGUCAGUUUAAUAAACUUAAUACAAGUAAUUAAAGAAAAAACUUGAUAUAACAAGCAUCUAUUACAAUUAUAAAAAUGAAUCUAAAUCAUUAUUACUUUAUAUACUUAAAUUAUAGCCAUAAAUGAAUAGUUACAUUUAUUUUCACCGAUACAAUAAUUAUUUACUUAUUUUUUCACACAAAAAAAUUAAAAAUUAAAAUUUUAUUAAAUAUAAAAUAAAUUAUUUAUUAAAAUAUAUUAUUAUGUGCCGUGAAAAAUCUUUUUUUUUAUAAUUUUAAAAAUAAUAUUAUAAUUAUUGUUAGAAUACUGUUAAAUAAACUCUAAAAUAUGGUAGUAUAUAAAUUAUACACGUACAUUUACAACGAACAUAUGGAGACUCUAAGUCUCUAAGUUUAAUGCAUGCAGUGUGAAUCUUAUAUUUAUAAUAAUAUAAUUCCUUUAGAUAAAAUUAAUAAAUUUUAGCUCAUUGGUAUUGUAUUGAACUCAAGUUAAGAGAUUUCAAGUUUAAAUCUUAGUUAGAUUUUUUGAUAGAGGCUAUUGCAUUUUAGAACGCUAAUUUCAUAGGGUUUGUAAAAUUGUUGCCUUUAUAAUAAUAUAUUUUAAUAAAAAAUUUAUUUUAUAUUUAAUAAAAUUAUAAUUUUAGCCCCACUUUUUAUUUAUUGCUGAAAUAAAUAUAAAAAUUUUUAAAUUGUUACUAUUGACUUAUAAUUAUAAUUAAAAUAUAUCAGGCCACAAUUUACGGCUGUAAAUGCACGUAUAUUAAUACUAUAAGAUUUAUCACCUCCUAUUUAAUUAAAAAUAAUGUAAAUAUUAAAGAUAGACAAUAACCUUAGUACAAGAAUGUAUAGAUUACAUUAACAAUAACUUUAUUACAAGAAUGCAUAGAUUACAUUAUAAUUGUGAUUGCAGUGCAACCAACAAAUUUACUAUAAUGGGCAUGCAUUAACAGUAAAAGCACUUCGGUUCUAGGGUAUAUUUCCAGGAGGUCAGGAAAUUGCUAUAAAGAGACUUUCAAGUGUUUCAGUACAGGGGUUAGAAGAAUUUAAAAAUGAGGUCGUGCUGAUUGCAAGACUUCAACAUCGGAACCUUGUAAAACUUUUGGGCUAUUGCAUUCAUAGAAAUGAAAAGAUUUUACUCUAUGAAUACAUGCCCAACAAAAGUUUAGAUUCUUUUUUAUUCGGUAAGUCUCAAAAGGAGUUCCUCGUUCUCAUUUCAAGACAAACUCAAUAUCUAUUCAUGUAAACUAUGUUGUAAGAAUCUCUAUUUCCCUUUAUUUUUGUGCAUGAAAAAAUCCCAGAUGCAGAACUUGCCAUCCUUCUGAAUUGGGAGGUGCGUUUCAACAUCAUUAUGGGAGUUGCUCGAGGACUUGUUUAUCUACACCAAGAUUCUCGGCUGAGGAUUAUUCAUAGGGAUUUGAAAACAAGCAACAUCUUACUAGAUGCAGAAAUGAACCCCAAGAUUUCAGAUUUUGGCUUGGCGAGGAUAUUUGAAGGAAAACAAACAGAGGGAAACACAAACAGAGUAGUCGGAACUUAGUAAGUUUACCUCAUGCAGUAUAAAAUAUCAAACACAACCCUCAAAGGUUGAUUAUUUGUAUAUCACUGCAGAACUUUAUAUGAGAAUUCUCUUCAUAAUUGUCAAAAUGCAGUGGCUAUAUGUCCCCAGAGUAUGCACUAGAUGGGAUAUUCUCAGUCAAAUCAGAUGCUUUUAGUUUUGGAGUAGUUGUGCUUGAAAUCUUGAGUGGAAGGAGGAGUACCGGAGUAUUUAGGCUUGAACAAGGCGAGAACCUUCUGAGUUAUGUAAGUUGUACUAAUUUUUCUGGCUCAUUUGUCUGUACUUGUUUAAUACUUGGUGCUAACGAAGUCUGAAAUUUCCAGGCAUGGAGAUUGUGGAAAGAACAGAAGGCAUUGGAUUUCAUGGACAAGACAAUAAGUGAAAGUUGUAAGAGUAAUGAGUUCUUGAAAUGCCUAUGUAUCGCAUUGUUAUGCAUUCAAGAAGAUCCAGCUGAUCGGCCUACCAUGUCAAAUGUUUUAACUAUGCUCAGUGGUGAAACUGCAACGUUUUCGACACCUAAGCAGCCAGCCUUUUUUGAAAGAGAAGGUAUUGCUGAUGCAGCUUCUUCUUCUUCUUCAAGUAAACAUGAAAUAAGUACCAUGUGGACGACUUCCCUUGGAGGAGGCUGAUGAUGCUAGUUUUCUUUUUCUUUUUUUUCUUUUUUUUUUGGGGGCCAUUUUUGCAAAAAUUAAAUUUAUCUGCAUUUUUCCUUGAUGAAUUUCCAUGUGUGUCCAUUCAGCAAUUGUACAAGGUUGUAAGUUCAUGGUCUUUGUAAUUUCAUUAGCCAACGAACCUGCUGUUGUGAUCCCUUUUGCAGGUCCAAAUUAAUCUAGUUUAGAGUAUUGUACUUGGAGGAAUUACCACUGCCGCAAGAGCAUUUGAAGCCUCAAGGCAAAUUCUCAAAGAAAUGGAAAAUGUAAGGAGUGGCGACACUAAUUUUAAGGGAAAUCAAAGAGUACCUUUUAAUUUUGAAAAUUUAAAAAUAUUUUGCUUUAAAAAAUCAAAGAGUAUAAUUCAUUAAAUUAAACUUUGCUUUAAAUUAAAAUAAAAAUUUUAAAAUUUAGCACCAAGUUGUAAAAAGUCGAAGCCAUUUAAAAAAAGAUGGAGAAAAUGUGAAUAGCCCUUACGAAAAUGAUUUUUGAUGCUGUGAAGACAAAUUUGGAAUAUGUUAUAAAAAUAAUUUAGAUUUUAAAAUAUUUUAAUUUAUCAAUAAAUAUUUAUUUUUUAUUUCUCAAAUAUUUUUAAAUUUUAAAUACAAUUAUUUCAUUUUAUAAAAUUUUUUUUAUGAAAUUUUUAUUUGUAGUAGAUUUCAUAUUUAAAUUUAAUAUUAAAUAUAAUUAUUAUAAUUUUAUAUAAUUUUAUUAUAUUAUUUUAAAAUUUUUAUAAUAAUUUAAAACGACGAAUUUUUUCAUUAUAAAUAGUUUAUAUUUUCAUAAGAAAAAAUUUUAUAUUUUUCUACUUUAUUUUUUAUUUUUAUUAUACUCCCUGCUGAAUCGUAAAUUAAAAAUAAAUUUUUAUAAUUAAAUUAAAUUUCAAAAAAAAUAUAUUUUAUUAUAUAAAUUUUAAAAUAAAAUUUUAAAGACUAUUCUAUCUUUCCAACCAUAUUAAAGAUUAACCUUUUAUCCUUUAAUGGGGGAGAUAAUAAUUAAAGGUUUAUUUUAGGAUUUUGUUUAUAAAAAAUUAUUGUUGUUAAAAGAUGAUAGUAGAUAAUGAAAUCAGAUAAAUUUAUUAUUAUCGAUAUGUUUAUUAUUAUUUUUAAAAAAAUUUUCUUUCAAUUUAUAAAAAUGAUAAACAUUUAUCAAAUAUUAAAUUUAUUGACUCAAUUUAAAAUGUGUUUGAAUAAAAAAAUAAAAGAAAUUGAAAAUGGAUGAUAACAGGAUCCAUAAAAUUAUAUGUAUAUUUGAAAAGUAAAAAUGAUAAUCAAUAUUUUUUUAUUUUCAAAUUAUAACAAAUUUCUUAUUUUUAAUAUUUAAAAUAGAUAUCUAAUAUUUAGAUGAAUAUAAAUUAAUUUGUGGAAUAAAUAAUUUAUUUUUUUAAUUACAAAUGAGUAAGAUGUUUUUUUAAAUGUUUUAAAAAAUUACUUAGUUUUUUAAGUAAUUUAUUAUUUUAUUAAAAUAGAGGUGGACAAAAAUAUUUAGAUAAAUUAGAUUUAAGAAUAACCGCAAAAAUCAAAUAUAAAAAUAGAAAUUUAGCUCCACCUUUCAAUCCAUUAAUUACUUCCUUUUAAAAUACGUCAAUAUAUAUUUAUAUUUAUAUAUACAUCAUCAAUUAUAAAGUGAUAGGUAGUUGCACUUAAAUUUUUUUUUAUGUGGAGUUUUAGUGAUUAUUUAUUUUUAAAAAAUUUAGAAUAAUAAAUUAUUAUGGAGUGUUAUUACUUUUAUGUAUACUUACAUUUAUUUUAUUCAUAGUAGCUUAUGUAGUUAAAACGAAAUCGUGUUGUGAUUGAUCACCCUACAAGAAAGAAAACGUGAGGUGUUUAGCGCCUAUAACAACUAUUAUGAUACUCAAAUUAGUAAAUUGAAAAAAAGAGAGAAUAUAAGAAAUUGCUUAAAAUUCUAAAAGUAGUUGUAUAAGGAUGCGUACCUUGAUCUCUACGAUCAUUAGGUUUUGUAUUAUAAAAAGAUAGAGUUAAUUAUCGUAUUUUCUGAAAAUAUGGUUAGUAUCGGCUAAUUGAUAAGGGAUCCCAUAAUUAUAGGCAUAAUGGAGAUCUGUUGGAUUGUACCUACUAACGGUAACUUUAUGUGAAAACUCGACGUAUUUAGGAGAGGGCAAGUCUUGAUGAAGAAAUGGAUGCUACGGUGUCUGUAUCUUCCUUUUCACAGGUGAAACUGCGUAUCAGUUUAUCAAACUCUUACUACGUGCCCCUGCCUUAUGGUGACAGCUCAUGGCUUACUUUGUGCGAUUAUUCUGCUAUAUUAGAAAUUUUCCCACUGAUCUUCAAUUCUUUAGAUUUGAAGGUGAUAAUUGUUAUAAUACCCAGCUAGAGUCCGGAAGCGGAAUUCUACUUUCCGGUGGAAUCCCGGAUGUCGGAAUCCUCUAGAAGGGUAAGAAUUGUUUUUUUUUUAAGUGUUUAAGUAUGUUUUAAUGUUUUAAAGUGUAAAGAAAAUGAGUUUUUGAAAGAAAAGUACCAAGGAAGAAAUGCCAGGUUCGGCCGCCGAAGGUGAUUUUUGGCCGCCGAACAUGCAUGAGUUUGGAAUCACGUUAGGCCGCCAAAGGUGGUCUGGCCAGCCACCUAUAAAAGGCCCUAGGUCGGUGAAUGGAUAAGAUUUUCUUUUCAUCCACAGGUAGAGGUGAGACCAUGAUCUUCCUUGGGAGAUCUUCAUGUUUUCUUCAAAUCUUACAAAGUUUUGAUGGGUUUUAUGUUGUUUUGAAGGUCUUGAGUUAAAAAACCCAACGUUGUGAAGUGUGGAGACUUUGAGGGUGAGUUGCUCCAUAUCUCCACGAUGGGAUCGUUUAUCUUCUUAUUUGUAAGAGGUAAGUGAAGAUCCUGACCUUCUUGGCAUGUUUUAUGAAGGUUUUAUGGAGUUUUAUGGGUAGAAAUGCAUGAUUAGGUUUAGGAGAGUUUUUGGUUGAGUUGUGGUCAAAGCAUGUUGAUGUGUUGUUUGUUGGGGUUUUAAGUUAGUUUUGGACCCCUUUGUGCCCAUACUUGAGUAUAUGCAGGUUGUGGAAUUGUGGUUUGCAUGUUUGAGUGAAGUUGGGUAAGAUUUGCAGGAAGCAGAACAAGGUUCUGCCUUACUGGAGAAUCCAGUUUCGGCCGCCAAAGGAAGGUUCGGCCGCCGAACAUGCUAAGGAGGUGGUUUCGGCUGCCUAAGCUUGCCCCCGAAAGUUUGGACUUUCGGCUCUGGAGGGGGGUUUCGGCCGCCGAAGGUUGGAGACUUUCGUCUCUGGAGAGGACUUUCGGCAACCGAAGUGCCGCCGAAAGUGCUUGAGUUUUGGCUCUGGAAGGGACUUUCGGCCGCCGAACCUGCCGCUGAAAGUGCCCUGUCCAGCCUUUUUUUGCAUGUUUUAUGUGAUUGUUUUAGGAUGUUUUAGGGGGGUUUUGGGGAGUUUUAUAGAGUUGUUCUUGAGCUAGUUUGGUCCCUCAUUUGAGUCCACCUGCGUAGGAACGGACCAGAGGAACCGAAGAGAUCAGCAGUUAGCCUUGUGCAAUCGGUCGAUUCGGUUCCGAACCGAACCAAACCAAUAAAACCGAAAACCGAUUUGCUGAAAUUUUUAAAACCGAAAAAACCGAUUCUGGAGGUAUAACCGAACCGAUAACCGAAAUCUGAUUUUUUUUUUAUUUUUUUUUAUUUCUAAUUUGCAACUACUUUACACUUUGCAAUUGUGCAAACUCUUAUAUCUUUGUGCUGAUUUUGUGGGAGAUAUUUGUGUAUUUGGCCAUGUUGAAUGCUAUAGUCAAAAUUUUCUGAAGUCAAUACAUAUCACUAAAGGGUUUUUAAACAAAUGGUAAAUUAUUUUCAAAUAUGAGUGAUGUGCAAGUGCAAGUGGAUUUGAUUUCUCUUUCUCACAACAAAUGCUCAGCAAGUCUACCUUCAAAUUAUGACUGAUGUGCAAACAUUAUAGCAUUUCACUUACAAGGACAGCAUCACAUAAGUUACAUGAAUAAGGAUGCAAGAAAUUUACAAGCACAAGCCUGUGAGCAACGCUCACAAAAAGAAACCGAUUUGCUGAAAUUUUUAAAACCGAAAAAAUCGAUUCUGGAGGUAUAACUGAACCGAAAUCUGUUUUUUUUUUAAUUUUUUAUUUCUAAUUUCAACAAAAUAAUUUAAUAAACAUUCUACAUAAAUUUAUCAAUAAAUACUGUCUGAAUACACAAUGAUAAUACUUAAAAAGUCCAUAUACGUCCAGAUACAUCCAUAUAAAAUUUAAAAGUACAUAUAAAAUCAGAAUUCCACAUAAUAAAUUCGCCAAAAUAUAUUAAAUCCACAACAGUAAAUUCACAACAAAAUAUCAUUUCACAAACAACUUUUAAUAAUAUAUUAAAUCCACACGCACACCAGCCUUCAACAGCAUAUCUGAAUCUGAUCCCACAAAAUAUUGAGUUGAAGCAUAUUUAAAAGACUGAAAUCUGCACAUAAAAAUAUUUAAAAAUCACCUUAAUUCCUUAUCAUCAAAUAAAUUUAAAUUUUCAAUAGUUAAUCUUACAUUUAUGAGGUAGGAGUAGAGCAUGAUCCACCUAAACCAUAGGUGAUUCCAACAGACGGUAAUUCUGCAAAUAAUAAUAAACUAAAAAAAAUUUAUAUAUAUAUAUAUUGAAAUUAACACAAAUAUGAAAAUGUAUAUAACAUAUUACAUACCUUCUUCAAGCUUUUCAAGUUCCUCUAGAUCUUCCUCAACAUUUACUUGAACAUUUGAUGGACGAAUCCAAUCUUGCACACAUAUCAAGCCCUCAACAAUUUUAGGAGUCAGGGAACUCCUGAAGGAAUCUAACACUCUUCCACCAGUACUGAAGGCACUCUCUGAGGCAACUGUAGAAACUGGAAUUGCUAAUAUAUCUCUAGCCAUUUUUCCUAAAAUAGGAAACCUUUCAGAAUUUAUUUUCCACCAUUUCAUGACAUCAAAAUCCUCCUUUUCCUCUUGAAUUGCCUCACUUAGAUACACUUCUAACUCUGUUUUUGAAUCAAACCCACCAGAUUCCUCCAACUUCUGCUUCUUGUAGUGAUGCUUCAAAAAGAAUUUAGGCUUAGGGUUUAUUGAACCGGUAGUAGUGCAACUCCCACUUAAUUGUUGUGAACUAUUAUCAUUGAUUUGCUCAACAUCAGGUUGAUACAUUUUUUUGUAUUCAUUAAACAAAUCAAACAAACAACUCUUGACCUUGUUGAAUAGCUCUACUCCUUUCUCUUGACCAUACAUUUGGGAAAAAGAAUACUCCAUAAACUCAAAUUUGUCACGAGGGUCAAGAACAACAGCAAAAUAAAUAAUUUUAUUCAUUUUAUCCACAUCUCCACAAUACUUGUCAAAUUUAACCCUCAUUCUUUCCCCAUAGAUUUCAUAUCAAGAUCAUUGCUAUUAAUCCAUUGGUUUAAAAUAAAGGCUAAGUCACUGAUCUCACUGAAAAAUAGGUUUGAUGUGACAUACCUAGAGCCCGAGAUACGCAAAGUGAGCUCAUAAAAAUGAGCCAACAUAUCUGCCAUCUUUCUAACUUGUGUCCAAUCAUAAUAGUCAGGUAUGCCAUUCUCUCCCAUAUCAAUCUUAAACAUUGGAUCUUGUGACUCGUACCUCUCAAAUGCCCUUUCAUAUUUUUGAACUGUAUUCAACAUCAGGUACGUUGAAUUCCAUCUAGUUGGCACAUCUAAACAUAAUGAAGAUUUACUUUCAAUUUUUUCAUGAAGCACACACUCCUUAAAUCUCUUCAACCUAGCUGGAGAACUCUUUAUAUAUCUUACUGCAUCUCGUACUUUCAUUACUGAAUCAUUCACAUCUUUUAAGCCAUCCUGGACAACUAAAUUGAUGAUAUGUGCCAUACAUCUCAUAUGCAAGUAAAUAGAGUUAGCAACACUAACACCCCAAUUAGCAAACUUCUUUUUCAAAUAAGAUAUGGCCACAUCAUUAGAACUAGCAUUAUCAACUGUAAUAGUGAACACUUUAUCUAACCCCCACUCUAGCAAGCAAGUCUCAAUUGCUCUGCCUACUGCUUCACCUUUAUGACUUGAAAUGGGACAAAAAUUAAUGAUUCUCUUAUGCAACUUCCAAUCAUUGUCAAUAAAGUGAGCAGUUAUGCACAUGUAAUUAAUGCGUUGCAAUGAUGUCCAUGUAUCUGUAGUAAGACUCACUCUUUGACAAUUUUUCUUAAAAAAAGACCUCAAUUUUGAUCUCUCCUCAAUAAACAAAUCAUAACAAUCACGUGAAAUUGUCCAACGAGAGGGAAUCCUAAACCUUGGACAAAUUGCUCUCAUGAAGCUUCUAAAACCUUCUCCUUCCACAAAUCUAAAAGGCAAUUCAUCAAUAAUUAUCAUAUGGACAAGGGCCUUCCUAAUUGCAUUUUCAUCAUACUUCCAAGUAGUAAGAGUGCCUAAAUCAUUCACAUCAUUGUCACUUGCAGUUUUUUGCAAUGAUAAUUGUGCUUGUCUAGUCUCAAUGGAAUGUGGGUGUUUUUUGCAUGAAUUAAGGUGAUUCCUAAGUGCAGUGGUUCCGUUUUUCUUUGGAUCACAACAAAAUUCCUUUUUGCAAUAAUUACACUUACCUUUUAAUUCACCUUCACUAUUGACAAAUCUUGUGAAGUGAUCCCAAACUACAGACCUUGGCUUUACUGGUUUUCUCUUGGCUUUUGAUGAUGUGGUUAAUUCUGUUGAAACGUCAGUACUAGUUUGAUUCGAAUCACUAGUACUAUUUUGAAGUAUCUGAUCAUUUCGUGACUCCAUGAUUCACCUAAAAAGUAACAACAAAAUGAAGAGCAAAAUGAGUAAAUUAACAUAAUUAACCCAAUCAACAGAGUAUGUAAAUUAAGUCCUCCAUCUAGAUUCCAGACACUUUAAGAAAAGAACUUGUGGUACAUAAAUAUUAAAUAAAUGAACAACAAUUUUCUCCAAUUAUACAAACUAAACUUUCUGCACAAUAAAGAGCUUGCUCAGCCCAUAGAACAGCGUCGCUAUCCUAUUACUUCUUGCUCAUUUGGAAGAUCAAGUUGGUAUUUAAUGUGUGAAAAGAACCAAAUGCAUAAAGAGAUAGAAUGCUGCAUAUAAAUUAACUACAACUUUUAGUCCGAACAAGAAAAAAAGAAAAAGAAAACAUCAUUGCAUCUUGAUGUUGCUAAGAUCACUAUAAAAAAAUGAAACUGAAAUAUGGGGGUCAAAAUAGGUGUAAUUUUUCUAUUCGUUCCUUAAUCAUCUUUUGUUGUGUUCUCUUGACCCCUAAGCCUUUGAACCCUUCACAAGCUAGUCUGUUAAGUUUAUAAUACUAUAAGCAAGAGAUGUGUGCUCCACUGAGUCGUGCAACCCAAUCAGACACAGCAAGUGCCACAGACAAACACCACCACCCAAAUUGAAGAUUUCAUAUGCAACAGACAAACACCACCACACAGCAAAUGUCUGUUCGAGUUAAAUGAUAGAAGAGGAACAUUGGUUUUUUUUUAAGGGAAGCCAACACCCAAAAAACAAAUAAUUGGAUAAAACUUCUAUUGACGUAAUUCUUUUUCAAUUACAAUAAUUAUAGGACAUUCACGCAAAUAAAUCCCCUAAAUCAUGUAAUCACUGUUUCCGGCAAAGUACCAACCCGCUUGAUUUUUUUUGUGAAAAAAUCAGUAUUAUCCAUACAAACAAAUCAAAUUGGUAAUGGCAAAGAUUAAAAGUAAACCCAGUAAACCCAUACCCAACCCAAGACAAACAAAUAUUAAAGGUAAUAACUAAAGAAAGCUAUAUGUGUGAAUACAUGAACAAGUAUACAGUCAUGUUCCAGCUCAACAGGCUCUGGAUUGACAAUGCUCUUUUUCACAGCUAAAUGAUACAUACAUCAAAUCACAUAUUGAGGGGAAAAAAAGAGAGAAAACACAAGCAUCUGAGCCACAGUACAAAAAAGAGGUUGAUGGUCAAGUACAAAAGAGAGAAAACACAAAUUGCCAAAAGCAGUAGUACCUCUGCUCUCAAGAGAUUAGUCCAUGGUCGGCGGCGAAACUCACCAAAUCGACGGGAAAGAGGUUGAUGGUCGACGGUCGGCGGUCGGAGGUCGACGAGAAAAAGAUUGACGAUCGACGUGAAAGAGAAAGAGAGGCCAGGGGGAGGAAUCGGGAUUCGAGAGAGAGAAUAGGGGUUCGGGGGGGAAUCGGGUUCAGGAGAGGAGAUUUCAGAAUGUGGAGAACGGGAUGAAUGAAGGGGUUCAGCGAAAUCGAUUGAUGGGGUUAGGCUGCUGCCUGCUGGGUUGGGUUAACAUGUUUAAACCGGUUUUUCGAUUUUUCGGUUUGAUCGGUUAUUUAACAUGUUUAAACCGAACCGAAUCGAAAACCGAAUAAUUUUAAAUAUAUAA
rnacentral:lncRNA from 1 species